rnacentral:tRNA from 1 species
AUUUAUAUAGUUUAAGAAAAAUACAGCAUUUUCAAUGCUAAGUUAAUCUAGGUUUGUAAAUA